GAUGAACGCUGGCGGCGUGCCUAAUACAUGCAAGUCGAGCGAAGCGGGGACAGGUGAGUAACACGUGGGUAACCUCCUAUAAGACUGGGAUAACUUCGGGAAACCGUAGCUAAACCGGCUUCUUAUACAUGAAUCCGAGAUGCAUUAGCUAGUUGGUAGGGUAACGGCUUACCUAGGCAACGAUGCAUAGCUGACCUGAGAGGGUGAUCGGCCACACUGGAACUGAGACACGGUCCAGACUCCUACGGGAGGCAGCAGUAGGGAAUCUUCCGCAAUGGGCGAAAGCCUGACGGAGCAAUGCCGCGUGAGUGAUGAAGGCCUUCGGAUUGUAAAAUUCUGUUAUUAGGGAAGCGGUACCUAAUCAGAAAGCCACGGCUAACUCCGUGCCAGCAGCCGCGGUAAUUC
rnacentral:rRNA from 1 species